UACGGAGGGGGCUAGCGUUGUUCGGAAUUACUGGGCGUAAAGCGCACGUAGGCGGCUUUGUAAGUUAGAGGUGAAAGCCCAGGGCUUAACCCUGGAAUUGCCUUUAAGACUGCAUCGCUAGAAUCGUGGAGAGGUAAGUGGAAUUCCGAGUGUAGAGGUGAAAUUCGUAGAUAUUCGGAAGAACACCAGUGGCGAAGGCGGCCUUCUGGACAGUGACUGGACGCUGAGACGGCGAAAAGCGU
rnacentral:rRNA from 1 species